AAUCAUCACCGGGCUGACGGUUCCGCCAUGACGCGCGGAUGAAAAGGGAAUGCCGGUGCGGAUUACCCAUCAGGGGCCAAGACCGGAGCUGCCCUCGCAACUGUAAGCGGCAAGCCGACUGCCAUAACCACUGGUCCAGCGGGACCGGGAAGGGGCGGGACGCGACAGAGCCGCGAGCCAGGAGACCUGCCGUUCGCAAUCAACCACA
rnacentral:ncRNA from 1 species